CCUACGGGAGGCAGCAGUAGGGAAUCUUCCGCAAUGGACGAAAGUCUGACGGAGCAACGCCGCGUGAACGAUGAAGGCCUUCGGGUCGUAAAGUUCUGUUGUUAGGGAAGAACAAGUGUUAGUUGAAUAAGCUGGCACCUUGACGGUACCUAACCAGAAAGCCACGGCUAACUACGUGCCAGCAGCCGCGGUAAUACGUAGGUGGCAAGCGUUGUCCGGAAUUAUUGGGCGUAAAGCGCGCGCAGGCGGUUUCUUAAGUCUGAUGUGAAAGCCCCCGGCUCAACCGGGGAGGGUCAUUGGAAACUGGGAAACUUGAGUGCAGAAGAGGAAAGUGGAAUUCCAAGUGUAGCGGUGAAAUGCGUAGAGAUUUGGAGGAACACCAGUGGCGAAGGCGACUUUCUGGUCUGUAACUGACGCUGAGGCGCGAAAGCGUGGGGAGCAAACAGGAUUAGAUACCCUGGUAGUCCACGCUGUAAACGAUGAGUGCUAAGUGUUAGAGGGUUUCCGCCUUUAGUGCUGAAGUUACGNAUAGC
rnacentral:rRNA from 1 species